CGGAGGGAAACCGAGUCUUAACCGGGCGUUAAGUUGCAGGGUAUAGACCCGAAACCCGGUGAUCUAGCCAUGGGCAGGUUGAAGGUUGGGUAACACUAACUGGAGGACCGAACCGACUAAUGUUGAAAAAUUAGCGGAUGACCUGUGGCUGGGGGUGAAAGGCCAAUCAAACCGGGAGAUAGCUGGUUCUCCCCGAAAGCUAUUUAGGUAGCGCCUCGUGAAUUCAUCUCCGGGGGUAGAGCACUGUUUCGGCUAGGGGGCCAUCCCGGCUUACCAACCCGAUGCAAACUGCGAAUACCGGAGAAUGUUAUCACGGGAGACACACGGCGGGUGCUAACGUCCGUCGUGAAGAGGGAAACAACCCAGACCGCCAGCUAAGGUCCCAAAGUCAUGGUUAAGUGGGAAACGAUGUGGGAAGGCCCAGACAGCCAGGAUGUUGGCUUAGAAGCAGCCAUCAUUUAAAGAAAGCGUAAUAGCUCACUGGUCGAGUCGGCCUGCGCGGAAGAUGUAACGGGGCUAAACCAUGCACCGAAGCUGCGGCAGCGACGCUGAUGCGUUGUUGGGUAGGGGAGCGUUCUGUAAGCCUGCGAAGGUGGCCUGUGAGGGUUGCUGGAGGUAUCAGAAGUGCGAAUGCUGACAUAAGUAACGAUAAAGCGGGUGAAAAGCCCGCUCGCCGGAAGACCAAGGGUUCCUGUCCAACGUUAAUCGGGGCAGGGUGAGUCGACCCCUAAGGCGAGGCCGAAAGGCGUAGUCGAUGGGAAACGGGUUAAUAUUCCCGUACUUGGUGUUACUGCGAAGGGGGGACGGAGAAGGCUAUGUUGGCCGGGCGACGGUUGUCCCGGUUUAAGCGUGUAGGCUGGUUUUCCAGGCAAAUCCGGAAAAUCAAGGCUGAGGCGUGACGACGAGGCACUACGGUGCUGAAGCAACAAAUGCCCUGCUUCCAGGAAAAGCCUCUAAGCAUCAGGUAACACGAAAUCGUACCCCAAACCGACACAGGUGGUCAGGUAGAGAAUACCAAGGCGCUUGAGAGAACUCGGGUGAAGGAACUAGGCAAAAUGGUGCCGUAACUUCGGGAGAAGGCACGCUGACAUGUAGGUGAAGUGAUUUACUCAUGGAGCUGAAGUCAGUCGAAGAUACCAGCUGGCUGCAACUGUUUAUUAAAAACACAGCACUGUGCAAACACGAAAGUGGACGUAUACGGUGUGACGCCUGCCCGGUGCCGGAAGGUUAAUUGAUGGGGUCAGCGCAAGCGAAGCUCCUGAUCGAAGCCCCGGUAAACGGCGGCCGUAACUAUAACGGUCCUAAGGUAGCGAAAUUCCUUGUCGGGUAAGUUCCGACCUGCACGAAUGGCGUAAUGAUGGCCAGGCUGUCUCCACCCGAGACUCAGUGAAAUUGAACUCGCUGUGAAGAUGCAGUGUACCCGCGGCAAGACGGAAAGACCCCGUGAACCUUUACUAUAGCUUGACACUGAACAUUGAGCCUUGAUGUGUAGGAUAGGUGGGAGGCUUUGAAGUGUGGACGCCAGUCUGCAUGGAGCCGACCUUGAAAUACCACCCUUUAAUGUUUGAUGUUCUAACGUGGACCCGUGAUCCGGGUUGCGGACAGUGUCUGGUGGGUAGUUUGACUGGGGCGGUCUCCUCCUAAAGAGUAACGGAGGAGCACGAAGGUUGGCUAAUCCUGGUCGGACAUCAGGAGGUUAGUGCAAUGGCAUAAGCCAGCUUGACUGCGAGCGUGACGGCGCGAGCAGGUGCGAAAGCAGGUCAUAGUGAUCCGGUGGUUCUGAAUGGAAGGGCCAUCGCUCAACGGAUAAAAGGUACUCCGGGGAUAACAGGCUGAUACCGCCCAAGAGUUCAUAUCGACGGCGGUGUUUGGCACCUCGAUGUCGGCUCAUCACAUCCUGGGGCUGAAGUAGGUCCCAAGGGUAUGGCUGUUCGCCAUUUAAAGUGGUACGCGAGCUGGGUUUAGAACGUCGUGAGACAGUUCGGUCCCUAUCUGCCGUGGGCGCUGGAGAACUGAGGGGGGCUGCUCCUAGUACGAGAGGACCGGAGUGGACGCAUCACUGGUGUUCGGGUUGUCAUGCCAAUGGCACUGCCCGGUAGCUAAAUGCGGAAGAGAUAAGUGCUGAAAGCAUCUAAGCACGAAACUUGCCCCGAGAUGAGUUCUCCCUGAGACUUUAGGUCUCCUGAAGGAACGUUGAAGACGACGACGUUGAUAGGCCGGGUGUGUAAGCGCAGCGAUGCGUUGAGCUAACCGGUACUAAUGAACCGUGAGGCUUAACCUUACA
rnacentral:rRNA from 1 species